rnacentral:rRNA from 1 species
UCGAAAGAUUAGCUAAUACCGCAUACGCCCUGAGGGGGAAAGUAGGGGAUCUUCGGACCUUACGUUAUAAGAGCGGCCGAUAUCUGAUUAGCUAGUUGGUGGGGUAAUGGCCUACCAAGGCGACGAUCAGUAGCUGGUCUGAGAGGACGACCAGCCACACUGGAACUGAGACACGGUCCAGACUCCUACGGGAGGCAGCAGUGGGGAAUUUUGGACAAUGGGCGCAAGCCUGAUCCAGCCAUUCCGCGUGAGUGAAGAAGGCCUUCGGGUUGUAAAGCUCUUUCGCAAGGGAAGAAAACUUACAUUCUAAUAAAGUGUGAGGCUGACGGUACCUUGAUAAGAAGCACCGGCUAACUACGUGCCAGCAGCCGCGGUAAUACGUAGGGUGCGAGCGUUAAUCGGAAUUACUGGGCGUAAAGCGUGCGCAGGCGGUUUUGUAAGUCAGAUGUGAAAUCCCCGAGCUCAACUUGGGAACUGCGUUUGAAACUACAAGACUAGAAUAUGUCAGAGGGGGGUAGAAUUCCACGUGUAGCAGUGAAAUGCGUAGAGAUGUGGAGGAAUACCAAUGGCGAAGGCAGCCCCCUGGGAUAAUAUUGACGCUCAUGCACGAAAGCGUGGGGAGCAAACAGGAUUAGAUACCCUGGUAGUCCACGCCCUAAACGAUGUCUACUAGUUGUUGGUGGAGUAAAAUCCAUGAGUAACGCAGCUAACGCGUGAAGU